UCUAUCAUUAGCCCUUCCCACUGCAGAUUACUGCACCUGAACAAGCCAUUUCAUGCUGCUUAUAUAGACACUGCAGAGAAAUGGGCAUUUUUUUGGGAGCAAUUCAUCUGUGACCUCUUGUAGACAUCUCAGAGAGUAAUAAACCAUCUGGUCUUAUUCAUGGCCACUGGAACUGGGGUGACUCACUUGGAGAUGAUAGUUUGCCCACCUCAGCAGCAGGUCCUCUGGAGACAACUUCAUCAGAUCCUCCAGGCUCUCUCCUUCUCUCAGAAGAGCAAUUAAGGCUAAGCAGGGAUGGGAAAAAAAAAAUUAAAAAAUAAUGUGAAUACUUUCUGAGGAGAAUGUAUGGUUGUUCUCUCUCUAAAGGUUUUUUUCCCCCAGCCUGCAGGCUGAGGUGAUUUCAAAGAAUUGCAUGCUGAUUUCCUGCAUAGUAAGUUGCAAUUUCAGUCACUUGUUGCAUACUGUGAAAAGGCACUCGGCUCUCAGCAUCAGUAGCACGGAUUAAUACAGAUUGCAAAGAAUAUCCUAUCCAUUUCUGAAGUCAUACAACAAAAGGAUCUCGACUUGGAGAGGGAAAUGUCUCGGAGAGCAAUGAGAGCUUCUUUCUAGCAUUUUGUGUGAGCAACCUGAGCAACAUGGUCUAGUGGAAGGUGUCCCUGCACAUGGUAGGGGAGUUGGAGCGAGAUCGUCUUUAAGUUCCCUUCCAAUGCAAACCAUGCUAGUAUUCUGUGAUUUAUCUUGUCAGUGCAUUCGGUGUAUGGGACACUCACAGAGACCACAUUUUUAAGAUUGCCAGCCUAGAGUACUGUGCGCUCAGAAAUCAAACAACCACCACCUGACAACUGAUUAAUGCAUAAUCCAGCAAGGCUGAUAGAUCUGCUAAUAAAAGUUAAGUGAGCUGUGAGAAGAACAAGGACCUUUUCUUGGAAUUUGGGUAGACGGUGAUGGGUCUGUGUGAUGUGACUUUGAAGGAGACAAAUCAGAUGAGACCUUUAAAGGUUUGGAAAGGAAACACAUAUUAAAAAUAUAUGGGGUUUGAAAGAUCAUUGUAAAGGGAUUACAAAUUUUUUAGCCAUUUGCACAUUUGUCCUCUCCAUAUUCUUCCUUCCCAUAGGGAGUACUCAAUUCACAUUAAAAUACAACCCUUUUGCCUUCCAAAUAAUUUGUCAGAAAUUAACAAUAUUCUUAGCAAAACAUUUGAGCAUAUUUCCAAUAUGGU